rfam:Acyrthosiphon pisum strain LSR1 Contig16532, whole genome shotgun sequence.
CCGUGCUCUGUGACAGACCGGCGGGCACCCGCCAGUCCGGCGCCAGCCCAGUCUGUCACAGAACACGGCA